GCUGAGGGUUUAAGCAGCGGAAACAGCUCUUAAAUACGGACUAGAGGUUUUUCUGACAUGUAUCAUGUAAAAAGCAGUGUUUUUGAGACUUCUCUUGUCUUAAGAGCUGAAGUGAAGUCUGUCUGAUGUUUAACACGCGUCAUUCUGCUUUAGCCUCAGCCUGACGUAAUCCUGAUGACCCUGAAAUUCUGAGUAGUCCAGCACCUUCAUUCUUGUGCAGUUUUUGAAGUCCUUCACUGCAGACAAGAACUGACAGUAUCCCUCCUUCUUACACGCCCUUUCCGCUGACCUUUCCUGUCUACUUUUCUCGGGUCCAGGAGGGAGUGAUGAAGCCUCUCAGUGCUCAGGCCAGUAUGACUAAGAAAGAAUAAGAUUACCUGUGACAUGGGCAGGGGAACUGAGGC
ensembl:lncRNA